rnacentral:rRNA from 1 species
UACGGGGGGAGCAAGCGUUGUUCGGAUUUACUGGGCGUAAAGGGCGCGUAGGCGGUCGUGACAAGUCACUUGUGAAAUCUCCGGGCUUAACUCGGAACGGUCAAGUGAUACUGUCGGACUAGAGUACAGAAGGGGCAACUGGAAUUCUCGGUGUAGCGGUGAAAUGCGUAGAUAUCGAGAGGAACACCUGCGGCGAAGGCGGCUUUCUGGUCUGUAACUGACGCUGAGGCGCGAAAGCGUGGGGAGCAAACAGG